rnacentral:pre_miRNA from 1 species
UUAGGUGAAAUCAAUAUAUGACAUACACUUUGGAAAUGAAACCCACAGAAAGUGGAGGGACAUAUAUUAAUUUUACCAAA